UAGGGGGUGUAGCAAUACAUCACCGGCGGACGGGUGCGUAACACGUGGGAAUAUACCUUUUGGUUCGGAACAACGCAGGGAAACUUGCGCUAAUACCGAAUGUGCCCUUACGGGGAAAGAUUUAUCGCCGGAGGAUUGGCCCGCGUUCGAUUAGCUAGUUGGUGAGGUAAUGGCUCACCAAGGCGAUGAUCGAUAGCUGGUCUGAGAGGAUGAUCAGCCACAUUGGGACUGAGACACGGCCCAAACUCCUACGGGAGGCAGCAGUGGGGAAUAUUGGACAAUGGGCGCAAGCCUGAUCCAGCCAUGCCGCGUGAGUGAUGACGGCCUUAGGGUUGUAAAGCUCUUUCGCUCGGGACGAUAAUGACGGUACCGAGAUAAGAAGCCCCGGCUAACUUCGUG
rnacentral:rRNA from 1 species